UACGAAGGGGGCUAGCGUUGUUCGGAAUUACUGGGCGUAAAGCGCACGUAGGCGGAUUGUUAAGUCAGGGGUGAAAUCCCGGGGCUCAACCUCGGAACUGCCUUUGAUACUGGCAAUCUCGAGUCCGGAAGAGGUGGGUGGAAGUCCUAGUGUAGAGGUGAAAUUCGUAGAUAUUAGGAAGAACACCAGUGGCGAAGGCGGCCCACUGGUCCGGUACUGACGCUGAGGUGCGAAAGCGUGGGGAGCAAACAGG
rnacentral:rRNA from 1 species